CCCGCAUUUUUUUUAGCGCCUUUCUUAUUUGAUUUCUUAUUAUCGAGAAAAAGACUGAAAAGAUCUGGCGCGCUCCUUUUAUUCCUAUCUUCUUGAUCGCUCGCCGACUGGCACGGACUCGGUGUGCUUUCAUCUUUGUUGAACCGAGCUUUUCUGGAGAAUUGGGGUAUGGAUACAUCGAAACCUGCAAUUUUUGUCAAUGGAGGGCUGUUGCCCAUGCAUGUGCAGAAGAGGGUCCGAAUUGUCAUUCAAGUUCUUGGAUCUGAUCGUGGAGCUGUAAUUGGGAAAUCAACAGAUGAUCACCAGCUUACUGUCAAAGGCACCCCACCUUCUGUUCCUCUUACAAAUUUCGUUGAGGUUAUUGGCAUUGCUGACAGUGAAAAAUCCAUCCAAGCUGAAAUAUGGACCAACUUUGGGGACACAUUUGAUACAUAUUCCUACAACCAGCUUUGUCAGCUUGCAAAUGGUGAAUAUCAGCUCUUGUUCCUCUGAGGUGUAUUGGCUUUAUUUUUAUCGAGGCUUUUUGGUGCUUUUGGCCCCUGAUGUAACUAGGUGGUCGAUGUUUAUAAAUUCAGUCAGUUUUGCAGCUUUCGAUACAAUUUUGGAUAUUUCUUGAACCAAUAUUUUGGUCUUUGAGUUAACGAUCGGUAAGGUUGAGUGAUGCUUUGAGAAAAAACACAUCAUCAAAAUCAUUUGCAUGUUUUCAUUCCACUCAAACCACAUCUUUGAAAUCAACUCCUCUCUUGAGCAGCUGAGGUGAUCAUCCUGCUCAGGCGAAUCAGCAACAACCAACCAACAUGUAUCUACUUUUUUCCUCUGGCCUGGCUGGAAGGCAUCGUCUAUUGCUCAAGGGGUGACUGAUGGGUUUAAGAUGAGCAUCCACCAUCAAGUAGCUCCAGCCAUGAGCAGGUUUCGAUUUGUGGAGAUAAUGAAUUUGAACCAGACUAUGGGGGCUGAUUCGGUUUUGGUCCAGUCUCCAGUGAUUUCUGUUUGAUACGAGUUGAAGCAAUCCAGCGGUUAAAUUUUUUUGGAAAAAUUUUCUUUUUAAAGUAAAAUUGAUUCAAAUCAAAUACGACAAUAGGGCUGCACUGCUCAUUUUAGUCCAGUUCAUGGUCCUGGAGAGAGAAUCGAGCUUAGUCCUUGGGACCAGUUCUAUCCCUUGAAUCGGUCCUGUUUUGUUUCUACCAUCAAGGUAACUUGCAUAACAUUAUUUGAUUGAUUCAAAGAAGGCUUCAGCACUCG
rnacentral:misc_RNA from 1 species